rnacentral:rRNA from 1 species
AUUAGAUACCCCAGUAGUCAAAGCAGAAAAUGAUGAAUGUCAUAGAUUAGAUAUACAAUUUAUUCUAUAAAUGAAAGUGUAAGCAUUCCACCUCAAGAGUAAUUUGGCAACAUUGGAACUGAAAUCAUUAGACCGUUUCUGAAACCAGUAGUGAAGUAUGUUGUUUAAUUUGAUGAUACGCAAAAAACCUUACCACAAUUUGAAUAUUUAUAUAUAUCUUUUAUUGAUUUUUACUAACAUAUAUGUAGACAAUUAAAAUGAUGCUUAUAUCUCGUUUGUGAGACUAAGCAUCAAAAAAGAUAAUAUAUUUACAAGCGUUGCACGGCUGUCUUCAGUUAAUGUCGCGAGAUUUUGGUUAGUUCCAUUAAAUUAACGUAAACCCUUACUUUAUUUUUAUAUAAAGUAGUUCUCCGCUAUAUUGGAUAUGAUAACAGGGACUAAGACAAGU